rnacentral:rRNA from 1 species
GAUCGGGUUGGGUGGUCCGCCUUUGCGGCGUGUUUACUGCCCGACUGGGUCUUGCUUCUUGGUGAACCGUGGUGCUCUUUAUUGAACGCCGCGUGCGAACCAGGACUUUUACCUUGAGAAAAUUAGAGUGUUCAAAGCAGGCCUGCUUGCCUGGAUACAUUAGCAUGGAAUAAUGGAAUAGGGCUGCUGCCCCAUUUUGUUGGUUUCUGGGACCGUAGCA